CCAAUUCCUACAGCACUAUUUAUUGAAAUCUAUUUACCAUCGCUGAACUGCUUUUGCAUCUUGUCAAAAAUCAGUUGGUCAUAUUUGUGGCUUCAGGUGGCUGACCUUUGUGGAUUGUAUUAACUGCCUUCUGGCAGUUGGGCUCAACUUAAUUGUACGCCAUGCCAAGAGACAAGAGGGCUGGGUGAGGAUCUACUCAGUAAAUCUAGCCUACAAAAGAUAGGCUAUAGAGGAAGAACCUGCUCAGGAGGACAGAGGAAGCCCAGAUCUACUGGAAGGAAUGGGGAGGUGUCCGAAGGGCCAGUAAUGACAAGGGCCAACCUGUCCAGGUGAGAAGAGCGGGUUACUAUGGAAACAAGUCAUUCUGUAUUAUUAAAUGAUCGGUGCAUUAGGUGGGCAGAACUGGCUGCGAUCAGAGCUGCGUGUGGAAGAUUCCAACUCACUGUCAAGGAGAACACCUGUUAGCAGAGAAAGUGAGAAAGCACCACAGGGUAGAAGUUUAAUAUUUGUAUCUCUGCCUGAGUCAUCUCAAAAAAAAGAAAAAAGAUAUGAGGUUCUUCUCUUCCUCACGAUGGAGUUUUCCCUGGCAUUACACUGGGAUCAAAACCAAGCCCAGACAGCUGCUUUGUGUCCUCUCCCCAAGUUACUUUUGUUAAUUCCUGGUAAUUAAAAUGAGGAUUGCCUUUUAGGAAAAGCUGAAACCUCAGCAAAAAAAAAAAAAAAAAAAAAAAAAAAA